CAGGCUAAACUAAACGUCUGGCAGUUC
rnacentral:piRNA from 1 species